CCUACGGGCGACAGCAGUGAGGAAUAUUGGUCAAUGGGCGCGAGUCUGAACCAGCCAAGUAGCGUGAAGGAUGACUGCCCUACGGGUUGUAAACUUCUUUUAUAUAGGAAUAAAGUUAGGUAUGUGUGCUUUUUUGUAUGUACUUUAUGAAUAAGGAUCGGCUAACUCCGUGCCAGCAGCCGCGGUAAUACGGAGGAUCCGAGCGUUAUCCGGAUUUAUUGGGUUUAAAGGGAGCGUAGAUGGACUGUUAAGUCAGUUGUGAAAGUUUGCGGCUCAACCGUAAAAUUGCAAUUGAUACUGGCAGUCUUGAGUGCAGUUGAGGUAGGCGGAAUUCGUGGUGUAGCGGUGAAAUGCUUAGAUAUCACGAAGAACCCCGAUUGCGAAGGCAGCUUACUGAACUGUAACUGACAUUGAUGCUCGAAAGUGUGGGUAUCAAACAGGAUUAGAUACCCCGGUAGUC
rnacentral:rRNA from 1 species